rnacentral:rRNA from 1 species
AUUGAACGCUGGCGGCAUGCUUUACACAUGCAAGUCGAACGGUAACAGGCCUUCGGGUGCUGACGAGUGGCGAACGGGUGAGUAAUGCAUCGGAACGUACCCAGAGGUGGGGGAUAACGCAGCGGAAGCUGUGCUAAUACCGCAUGUGAUCUGAGGAUGAAAGCGGGGGACCGAGCAGCAAUGUUUGGCCUCGCGCCUUUGGAGCGGCCGAUGUCGGAUUAGCUAGUUGGUGGGGUAAAGGCCUACCAAGGCGACGAUCCGUAGCUGGUCUGAGAGGACGACCAGCCACACUGGGACUGAGACACGGCCCAGACUCCUACGGGAGGCAGCAAUGGGGAAUUUUGGACAAUGGGCGCAAGCCUGAUCCAGCAAUGCCGCGUGCGGGAAGAAGGCCUUCGGGUUGUAAACCGCUUUUGGCAGGAACGAAACGGUGUCCGCUAAUACCGGGCGCUAAUGACGGUACCUGCAGAAUAAGCACCGGCUAACUACGUG